UUACUCAGUACGCAAUCCCUAUACAUCCUAGGGUGCCUCUUUCGUAAUCGACCGCGUUCUAUCAAAACCGAACGCGCCCCAUCUCACAAUUUCACACGUACUCAAUUCUCUAGAGUCUCAAAACUCAUGUGGGCCACAUUCCAGCUCUCUUCUCUCCCUCCAAAACCCAAUACCCGCCGUUUUUCAAACGCAUCGCAGCAAUCCAAACAACUCUGCCUCCCAUCAUCUUCUCUCAAACCCCUCUCGAAAAACACGAACCCCCAAAUCCAAUCUCUGUCCAAACAGGGCCACCUGAAACAAGCUCUCUAUCUCCUUUCCCACGAGCCCAACCCCACGCAGCUCACCUACGAGCUUCUCAUCCUCGCCUGCUCCCGUUGUGGGUCCCACUCUGAUGCCGCAACCCUUCGCCGCCACCUCAUUGAUGACGGCCUCGAUCAGGACCCCUUCCUCGCCACCAAGCUCAUCAACAUGUACUCUCAUUUUGGGUCGCUCGAGGAUGCCCGCCGCGUGUUCGAUGAAACGCGUGAGAAGACUAUCUUCGUUUGGAACGCGCUCGUCCGUGCGCUCGCCUUGGCGGGCCGAGGUGAGGAGGCGAUGGCUCUUUAUAAGGAGAUGAGUCGAGCUGGGGUCGCUUUCGAUCGCUUCACUUUCCCUCACGUGCUCAAGGCCUGUGUCGCUCCGUCAUCAGGUUCCAUUUCCCUUCUGAUGGAAGGGAUGGGGAUUCAUGGCCACAUUCUGCGACGUGGGUUUGAAUCGCAGGUUCAUGUUGCAACUACUUUGGUUGAUUUGUAUGCGAAAUUCGGAUGUGUUUCGUAUGCGCGAUGUGUUUUUGAUAGAAUGCCUCAAAGAAAUGUGGUUUCUUGGAGCGCCAUGAUUGCCUGUUAUGCAAAGAAUAACAGACCCUAUGAAGCAUUGGAGCUCUUCCAUGAGAUGAUGACCGGAAACCAUGAUAGUGAUCCAACUUCAGUCACGAUGGUUAGUGUGCUUCAAGCCUGUUCGGCCUUGGCUGCUUUGGGGCAAGGGAAAGUGAUACAUGCUUAUAUCCUUAGAAGGGGACUCGAUUCUAUCAUUUCGGUGACCAAUGCGCUAAUAACAAUGUAUGUGAAAUGUGGUAGUUUGGAACUUGGGCGUUGUAUUUUUUAUCAAAUGAGUGAAAGGGAUGUUGUGUCUUGGAAUUCCAUGAUAUCUGGUUAUGGAAUUCAUGGGUUUGGCAGGGAAGCGAUUCACGUUUUCGAAAAGAUGAUAGACGCAAACAUUUCACCGAGCCCAGUAACAUUUGUUAGUGUUUUGGGGGCUUGUAGUCAUGUGGGGCUUGUUGAAGAAGGGAAGAAAUUGUUUGAAUCUAUGCUUCCUAAAUACAGCACUGUUCCUCAUGCUGAGCACUAUUCUUGUAUGGUUGACCUUCUAGGCCGUGCUGGCCAACUUGAUGAAGCAGCCAAGAUUGUAGAAAUGAUGCGGAUUGAGCCGGGUCCAACUGUCUGGGGCUCACUUCUCGGUGCAUGUAGGAUUCAUGGCAAUAUCAAGCUUGCAGAGAGAGCAUGUCAACGUCUUUUCGAGCUCGAGCCCAUGAAUGCUGGGAACUACGUGCUGUUAGCGGAUAUCUAUGCAGGGGCUAAGAUGUGGGAUGAUGUGAGUAGAGUGAGGAAGCUAUUGGAAGCUCAGGGACUUCGGAAGGUACCUGGUUGCAGUUGGAUAGAAGUAAAGAAGAAGGUCCAUUCAUUUGUUUCUGUUGAUGAACCAAAUCCACAGAUGGAACAGCUCCAUGCUUUGUUGGUUCAGCUGUCUACGGAGAUGAAAGAUAAGGGUUAUGUCCCUGAAACCAAAGUUGUGCUCUAUGAUCUCGAUAUGAAUGAGAAGGAGCAGAUUCUGCUGGGCCACAGUGAGAAAUUGGCAGUCGCCUUUGGUCUCAUCAAUACCAAUCAUGGGGAGACCAUCCGGAUCAUGAAAAACCUAAGACUAUGCGAAGAUUGCCAUUCCGUUACAAAGUUCAUUUCAAAGUUUGCGAAUAGAGAGAUUCUUGUCCGGGAUGUGAAUCGAUUCCACCAUUUUAGAGAUGGGAUGUGUUCGUGUGCAGAUUAUUGGUGAAGUCGUUAGUUGGGAGCAUAAAGGAAUCAGAUUUGAUUGUUGUGAUCGAGAAGUUCAUCGCAGUUUCUUUGUUGAAGCAUGGGGAGAUACUUUGAUGAUGUAUUGUUCUCCAAACCACCAUCAAAUAGAACUCGACAGUUCAAAAUCAAAGAUCAUGGAGUGGCAGUUCUGAUGUAUAUCCAUCUGUUUUUUAUGAUUUCAACUAUAUCAGCUUCUUGCCUCUGGUCAUGGGCUGCAAUGGGAGAAAUGUAUCAGUGGGAGAAUCGAAGCUCUGCCACAAGAUAUUGCCACUUGGGCCCUUGAUCACAAGGUUCCCACUGUUCAAAAGCUCGG